GACGAACCGUGCGAACGUUGUUCGGAUUCACUGGGCUUAAAGGGCGCGUAGGCGGGUUCUCAAGUCGGGGGUGAAAGCCCACAGCUCAACUGUGGAAGUGCCUCCGAUACUGGGAAUCUUGAGGGAGGUAGGGGUGCGUGGAACUUCCGGUGGAGCGGUGAAAUGCGUAGAUAUCGGAAGGAACGCCGGUGGCGAAAGCGACGCACUGGAUCUCUUCUGACGCUGAGGCGCGAAAGUCAGGGGAGCAAACGGG
rnacentral:rRNA from 1 species